UAGGAAAUAAUGUAAAGGAAGUAGGGAAGGCUUUGAUCUCUACUGCGUAGGUUAGAUUCCUACUUUUCUAA
rnacentral:tRNA from 1 species